rnacentral:rRNA from 1 species
AACGUAGGUUCCGAGCGUUAUCCGGAUUUACUGGGCGUAAAGCGCGUUCAGGCGGUUUGGCAAGUCGGGCAUGAAAUCUCUCGGCUCAACCGGGAGAGGUUGUCCGAUACUUCCAGACUUGAGGGCAGUAGAGGGUGGUGGAAUUCCGGGUGUAGUGGUGAAAUGCGUAGAGAUCCGGAGGAACACCGACGGCGUAGGCAGCGCCCUGGACGACACCUGACGCUGAGGCACGAAAGCUGGGGGAGCAAACAGG